rnacentral:rRNA from 1 species
GACAGAGGGGGCAAGCGUUGCUCGGAAUUACUGGGCGUAAAGCGCACGUAGGCGGAUCGAUCAGUCAGGGGUGAAAUCCCAGAGCUCAACUCUGGAACUGCCUUUGAUACUGUCGAUCUAGAGUAUGGAAGAGGUGAGUGGAAUUCCGAGUGUAGAGGUGAAAUUCGUAGAUAUUCGGAGGAACACCAGUGGCGAAGGCGGCUCACUGGUCCAUUACUGACGCUGAGGUGCGAAAGCGUGAGGAGCAAACAGG